UGUCUUAUAGUCAAUAAUGAUAUAAAAUUGCAAAUUUUAAGGAGUAUGUUAAUACUAAGGCUU
rnacentral:tRNA from 1 species